GCGGUCGUGGUGGAAUGGCAGACACGCUACUUUGAGGGGGUAGUGGGCGAAAGCUCGUGGAGGUUCGAGUCCUCUCGACCGCACUA
rnacentral:tRNA from 1 species